rnacentral:sRNA from 1 species
AACACUCCUCUACAACCUCACUGUAGCCAGCCGUCCUAAACAGUUCCGCCAAUUGCCUCUAACUUUUAUCCUCAUCCGUCAAUUGAGUUCACGAUGUUCUCUCUGAGAACUGCGCAGCCAGCACAGUCUCUUUUCCGCGCUGCGACGAAUACUUACUCGACAUCUCUCCCUCGCUCCGCAAUUGCUGCUAGAUCAUUCGCUACCGUGCAAUCGGACAUCUUCAAGCCUACCAAAUAUGGCGGCAAAUACACAGUUACGCUGAUCCCAGGCGACGGCAUCGGCACGGAAGUAGCAGAAUCAGUGAAAACAAUUUUCAAAGCCGAUAAUGUACCAAUUGAGUGGGAGCAGGUCGACGUUAGCGGGUUGGACGCCGGGAAUAAACAUUCGGAAGAUUUGUUCAAAGAAUCUAUUGCCUCGCUAAAGCGCAACAAGCUCGGUCUCAAGGGUAUCCUUCACACCCCAGUUGAGCGAUCCGGCCAUCAAUCGUUCAAUGUUGCCCUACGUCAGGAACUAGACAUCUAUGCGUCUAUCGUUUUGAUUAAGAACAUUCCCGGCUACAAGACCAGGCAUGACAAUGUCGACCUCUGCAUUAUCCGUGAAAAUACCGAAGGCGAAUAUUCUGGCCUCGAGCAUCAGUCUGUCAGCGGCGUUGUCGAAUCUCUCAAGAUAAUUACUCGUGCCAAGUCAGAACGAAUUGCCAAGUUUGCUUUUAGCUUUGCUCUGGCCAACAACCGCAAGAAGGUUACCUGCAUCCACAAGGCCAACAUCAUGAAAUUGGCCGACGGCCUUUUCCGCUCCACCUUUCAUAAAGUUGCCGAAAGCUACCCCACUCUAGAAACGAAUGAUAUGAUUGUGGAUAAUGCAUCUAUGCAAGCGGUUGCUCGUCCUCAGCAGUUUGACGUCAUGGUUAUGCCUAACCUUUACGGAGGAAUCCUCUCCAACGUUGGAGCUGCUCUCGUCGGUGGCCCCGGUAUUGUACCUGGUUGCAACAUGGGUCGCGAUGUGGCUGUCUUCGAACCGGGAUGUCGACACGUUGGACUUGAUAUUAAAGGCAAGGAUCAAGCUAACCCCACAGCCUUGAUUCUUUCUGGAUCCAUGCUCCUGCGCCACUUGGGUCUCGAUGAGCAUGCCAACAGAAUCUCCAAGGCAGUUUAUGACGUGAUCGGAGAAGGCGUCACCCGCACGCGCGAUAUGGGUGGUCAAGCUUCCACCCAUGAAUUCACCCGUGCUGUCCUCGAUAAGAUGGAAUCAGCUCUGUAAAAAGCGAGAGAAAAAAUAUCCCACUCCAGCUAUACCUAACGCGUCUAGCUAUCAUUUCCUCCACCAACUGACUAUUCAAAAGAAGCAAAAGCCCAAGGCUGAACAUUCCUUUCGAUGGAGAAAAGCCAAGAAUAAUAAAUUCGAGACUGCAUAACGACACGAAACUCUGAAGCCCCGCACUUACUCCUCGCUCCUAUACCACCAAAAAAGAUAAGAAAGUCGAGAAUGAUUUCUCAUUUUCACAGCAUGUAUAUUUUUUUUUUUUCGUCUGUUACAAAAAUCUUUUAGAAUCUACAAUUACACAUGGGCUACUUUUGCUUGUCUUGUCCUGUAUACAUUAGCAAUUAGACAUCUUUCCUCCACCUUUCCCAUUCCGUUCACCGGAAACCCACCUCUCAUCCCAAUUCCCACACCUAGCCCAUCAAUCACGAGAGGAAUGGAUCAGGAGGUGAGGUUGGAGUAUAUGGAACGAAACCCCCGAGUUGACUCCAUACUCAAUAUUUAUUCCUUCUCUCCAAGUUUGUUCAUUGUUUCCCUUCUCCCUUGUCGGUUUUGCCCUGUAGCACCCUUAGCACAACAUAUAAACCGUAUAUGUCCAGCAGCAUGACAUUUGCCAUUCACCAGCUUUAUGUUUUAGUACUCUCUGUUUCUUAUGUGCAUAGAAAUUUUAUCUAUAUCUGUCAAGUGUUCAUGAGAACAUCCUUUUCUCUAACAUUUUCUAUCUUUCCUUUUUCUCUAUCCCCAAACACUAACAAUCUUAGUUUUUCCCCAUUCUUUUAUGAGAUUAGGAUGCUACCGUAAGGUCGGCAAAACAUGUUGACAAGUGGAAAGGAUAAAUGUACCGUACUGGAUAGAAUUAAAGCUUUAUUCCUUCAAUUUUAAUGCGUAUAAUAUUAAUUCCUGUUUCUCACUGGUUGGAACUCAUGUGAUUUCAUGUUCGGCUUUUCAAACUCCUGUUUCAUCUCCAAGAUCUAAAAAUGUGUGCUUCUAUGUAGGCAUUUACAUGCGUACCCAAGUAUGCAAUUUCUCGCGGCACAGUGAUGGAAAGAAAAAACAAAAAGAAUAAGAAACAAAAACAAAGAAGAACUUCACCAUAAAAUUAGAAAUCUUAAAUGUUAUUUUAUAAAGAAAAGAAAUUGGACUCUGCCAAAUGAAAAUUCCGCUAAUGCACAAAAUCUUAAAUAGGCUCUCCCAAUAAUGAAAUCAGUUUCGCCACCCAUAAAUAACGUGUAUCUCCGCAGUAUCACCAUCAACACCAUCUCCACAUCUCCACAUUUCCACAUUUCCACCCAUUCAAUCGUUGUGUUUUAUUUCUUUUAUUCAGAACCCAUUCCGGACAGGAAAUCGAUAAAAAGCUUAAAAAGGUUUAUCGGACUUUAACGUCCAGAGCCCCGGGAUUCGAACACGUGAAGAGCAUUAGUCGACUAAGGGGUGAGAGAGGCGUAACAUUAAACAUGGAAUGGGAAAAAGGGAAGAAUCCUGCGUGGGAGGAAUUUUUACCAUUCCACUCUAUCCUAGGUGGUUCCUUGAUCGAUUGAUUUGUUCGCGGCAUGGCACGGAAGAAUUAUUAAAAGAGAUAUGGUUUCAAUUCAGUUUCGUUGUUUUCGCCUAUUUACUUUGUCUGUUUGUUAUUCUCCAAAGUGUCGGAAAAUACUUGACUAGGUGCUUUGUUGUCUUGCUCAUUUGAUUGAGGUCGCCUCCCCUUUUCUUUUUCGCUUGGGUUCGUCGUUUAUUGGGUUUUAUUUUGGUCGAGUCUUUGAAAGUAACUCAAUACCCUGGACAUUGGAUAUUCCUCCAUCUGCGAUGGGCGAAUGGGAAAUGCAUCAAGUGGUUUGGAAGCCCGAAUUGUGCCAAACAUAAAUCCUUUGAUAAGGUUUUGUUUUCCUUGGGCUUCGACGGGCGUGGCUAGAACUCCAACCACGCGGUGACAUGUAUAUUUCGGUGAGAUGUUGGGAUGGGAAUGAUAAAGCGACACCUGUCUCACAUUGGCCAGUGGUAGAAAACCUCGUGACGGGCUGGCGUUCAUGGAAAUGAAAAGUACCGCUUUUGUUAGAGCCUUUUGCCAUCCUCAGAUCGACGAAGUUCCGAUUCACUUUGCAACAAGCGAGAACGUGGCCAUCCGUACUUCGGGGGAAUUAGAAUUCGAGGUUUGUGUGAGAUAUUUUUUCCACAUGGCGUCGUCAGUUUCUGGGUGAUCGGCCAAAGUACCUGAUAGGAGGGGGUUGAAUAGCCACGCGAGCAGAUCGACCUCCAUAGCCCCCGGAAAUAGCAGUACGGGGCUGUGUAAACCGAGCAGUGGUAAAUAGAACAAAUCAAGAGUAAGAGGUCAAAAUGCAAUACGUCUCUUGCGACCAGUAUACUUCGAGCUCGGCUUGACGAUUUUGCCCUUGCGUUCCAUCUGCUCCUUCUUCCGCAUGAUCCAAGCCUUGGUCCCCUUGACAUGAGCCGGGCUCACGCCUCUCUUCCCGUGAGACUCAGCCAUGGCCUUCUUCCUCGCAUCUAGAAUAUCAACAUCGUCCAUACCAUCCACAACACCGGUUAUGUCGCCUUGUAGACCACCCCCACCAACAGUCAGCACAAGAUAGAGCUUGCUAUUUUUCGUCCCCGGGUCAUCUUCAAGAAUACCAGCACCAAAUCCAGCCUUCAUAGCCGCGCCGCUAAUCAUACUCCUCUGAGCAUCAUUUUUGGGGUAAAACUGGCAAACCGCACGUGCCCCCCGACGCAAACUGGCGUAUAAUCCAUCAAAGAAUCUGCGCAACCGACCCUCCGGGCUAACAUCGCUAGAAUCUGCAUUACACAGCCACUGAAUGGCACUGAUACUAAUGGCCGCGUCAAAUGUACCCGCGCGAAACGGGAUUCCUUGGCCGAUGUCUGCCAGAAAGAGGUCGCCCUCUACAUCUCUCUGAAGAGCAAUGUCUAGCAUGGAGGGGGAGAUGUCCAGGCCAACCCAGGUGUGGUGUCCACCGUCAGAAGGUGAGACGGCAGAGAGGAUUUCGCCUGAUAAACCGGAGCCGCAGCCAAUAUCGAGGAUGAGAGAGGGAGAUUUGAGGUCGAGGAGUUCGAGGGCGCGGUUGGUCAUGUCUGAUUGAAUGUUGCGGAUUCGGGAGGAGGUGGUGUAUUUGCGGGAUUCGGAGUCAUUGUAAAAGAGAUCUGGGGGCCUGAAUGUUUGUCCAUGUUAGAGAAUACGGUCGCGAUAGUGGAAAAAGAUUCCAAUAUUUAAGCAUCGGGUUUUUGUAGACAUACAGAGUGUCUUCUGGGCGGGACAUUGUGGAAUUGAAAGUUUGCGGAAUCGUCGAUUUCUGGAUACUCUGGCGAACAAAAAGAUAUAUAUAAUACUACGGUUUCUUUUGCUUUUCGGCUUCGUAAUAUUAUCCUUUUCUUCAGAUUUUGAUAGAUAUCGGGGCAACUGAGAUUCUCAAGGCGUUAGAUAGUCUGAGUUGUCCGUGGGGUUGAAAAAGUGCUGAAAAGUUUUAU